rnacentral:rRNA from 1 species
GGCUCAGAACGAACGCUGGCGGCGUGCUUAACACAUGCAAGUCGAACGCGAAAGGGACUUCGGUCCUGAGUAAAGUGGCGCACGGGUGAGUAACGCGUAGAUAACCCGUCUUCAUGUCUGGAAUAAUACGCCAAGGGGGUACUAAUACCGGAUAUUCUUGCUUUUCAUAAGUUAUGCAAGCAAAGGUGGCCUCUGCAUAUGCUACUGCAUGAAGAGGGGUCUGCGUACCAUUAGCUAGUAGGUGGGGUAAUGGCCUACCUAGGCGACGAUGGUUAGCGGGUCUGAGAGGAUGAUCCGCCACACUGGCACUGGAACACGGGCCAGACUCCUACGGGAGGCAGCAGUGAGGAAUAUUGCGCAAUGGGGGAAACCCUGACGCAGCGACGCCGCGUGAGUGAGGAAGGCCUUCGGGUCGUAAAGCUCUGUCAAGAGGAAAGAAGUGUACAAUGGCUAAUACCUGUUGUAUUUGACGGUACCUCUAAAGGAAGCACCGGCUAACUCCGUGCCAGCCGCCGC